rnacentral:rRNA from 1 species
AGCGAACGCUGGCGGCAGGCCUAACACAUGCAAGUCGAACGAAGUCUUCGGACUUAGUGGCGGACGGAUGAGUAACACGUGGGAACGUGCCUUUAGGUUCGGAAUAACUCAGGGAAACUUGUGCUAAUACCGAAUGUGCCCUUCGGGGGAAAGAUUUAUCGCCUUUAGAGCGGCCCGCGUCUGAUUAGCUAGUUGGUGAGGUAAAGGCUCACCAAGGCGACGAUCAGUAGCUGGUCUGAGAGGAUGAUCAGCCACAUUGGGACUGAGACACGGCCCAAACUCCUACGGGAGGCAGCAGUGGGGAAUCUUGCGCAAUGGGCGAAAGCCUGACGCAGCCAUGCCGCGUGAAUGAUGAAGGUCUUAGGAUUGUAAAAUUCUUUCACCGGGGACGAUAAUGACGGUACCCGGAGAAGAAGCCCCAGCUAACUUCGUGCCAGCAGCCGCCGUAACAC